GAAUAUCGGACAAUGGGCGAAAGCCUGAUCCAGGCAUGCCCCGUGUGUGAAGAAGGCUUUCGGAUGGUAAAGCACUUUACGUUGGGCGGAGGGGUUGUAGGCUACUACCCUGCAAUUUUGACGUUACCACCAGAAUAAGCACCGGCUAACUUCGUGCCAGCAGCCGCGGUAAUACGAAGGGUGCAAGCGUUAAUCGGAAUUACUGGGCGUAAAGCGGGCGUAGGGUGUUUGUUAAGUUGGAAGUGAAAGCCCCGAGCUCAACCUGGGAACUGCUUUCAAAACUGGCAAGCUAGAGUAUGGCAGAGGGUGGUGGAAUUUCCUGUGUAGCGGUGAAAUGCGUAGAAAUAGGAAGGAACACCAGUGGCGAAGGCGACCACCUGGGCUAAGACUGACACUGGGGUGCGAAAGCGUGGGGAGCAAACAGG
rnacentral:rRNA from 1 species